rnacentral:rRNA from 1 species
UACGAACUGUGCAAACGUUAUUCGGAAUCACUGGGCUUAAAGGGUGCGUAGGCGGUCAUUUAGGUAGGGUGUGAAAUCCCUCGGCUCAACCGAGGAAUUGCGCCCUAAACCGGGUGACUUGAGUGAGGCAGGGGUGUACGGAACUUCCGGUGGAGCGGUGAAAUGUGUUGAUAUCGGAAGGAACGCCGGUAGCGAAAGCGGUACACUGGGUCUCAACUGACGCUGAGGCACGAAAGCCAGGGGAGCAAACGGG